CUAACAGGUUAGCUCCGUCCAUUUAUAAAAACAGUCUAUGCUAGCAGGUUAGCUCCGUCCAUUUAUAUAAACAGUCUAUGCUAGCAGGUUAGCUCCGUCCAUUUAUAUAAACAGUCUAUGCUAGCAGGUUAGCUCCGUCCAUUUAUAUAAACAGUCUAUGCUAGCAGGUUAGCUCUGUCCAUUUAUAUAAACAGUCUAUGCUAGCAGGUUAGCUCCGUCCAUUUAUAUAAACAGUCUAUGCUAGCAGGUUAGCUCUGUCCAUUUAUAUAAACAGUCUAUGCUAGCAGGUUAGCUCUGUUCAUUUAUAUAAACAGUCUAUGCUAGCAGGUUAGCUCUGUCCAUUUAUAUAAACAGUCUAUGCUAGCAGGUUAGCUCCGUCCAUUUAUAUAAACAGUCUAUGCUAGCAGGUUAGCUCUGU
ensembl:lncRNA